UACGUAGGGUCCGAGCGUUAAUCGGAAUUACUGGGCGUAAAGCGUGCGCAGGCGGCGCGUUAAGACAGGUGUGAAAGCCCCGAGCUUAACUUGGGAAUUGCGCUUGUGACUGGCGUGCUGGAGUGUGGCAGAGGGAGGUGGAAUUCCACGUGUAGCAGUGAAAUGCGUAGAGAUGUGGAGGAACACCGAUGGCGAAGGCAGCCUCCUGGGCCAGCACUGACGCUCAUGCACGAAAGCGUGGGGAGCAAACAGG
rnacentral:rRNA from 1 species